AUUAAUUUUAUUUAUUUAUCACACAUUUGCACAUAUGAAAUUCUUUUUUUUUUUUUUUUUCACAUAUCCCAGCUAAUCUGGGGUCAGAGUGCAGGGUCAGCCAUGAUACAGUGCCCCUGGAGCAGAUAGGCUCAAGGGCCUUGCUCAAGGGCCCAACAGUGGCAUCUUGGCAGUGCUGGGGCUUGAACCCCCAACCUUCUGAUCAGUAACCCAGAGCCUUAACCACUGAGCCACUAUACUGGCCAGGUAAAAAAAAGAACACACAGUUCACUGAAUGCACGCUGACCUUUUGAACCUGACAUUAAAUAACCCUUUUUUAUUUUUUUAUUAUUUUUUUAGCAAAACAGUAAAAAAAAAAUUAAAUAAAUAAAUAAUGAUGCACAAAAUGAUCCAUGAAUCAGCCAUAAUGUGAAAGGUAACAGGGUGCAGCGUGGCCUGUGUAUGAAUGUUUGCAAAUAGUAUGUCGUUGCUCAGCUGUUUCAAACUCAUUUUUGGCUUUGAGAGAAGAAUGAAGAAGUAGUCCCUAAAUCUCUGCCUCUGAAAGACAGUCAUACUGGUUUGGAACAACAUGAGGGUGAGUAAAUGAUGACAGAUUUGUCAUUUUUAGGGGAACUAUCGCUUUCAAUGUGGAGACACUGGGAUUUACUUGUGUUCGGUUGGAGACUGGGAUUAUAUUUGACAUGAGAGUAAAAGAAUGGGGGGUAGAAAUGUGUCCUCACUCAUGAGCUAUGUUUUAUUUUCAUCAUUCAGUACAGAAAAGGCGUGCAUUACGUGUGAAAGCUUACAUGAAUGCACAUAUUGUACAGAAACGUACUGAGGAUAAAAUCUAUCCUAAAACACUUAUAUAUUUUGUCAUGCAUUUGAUCAGCAUACUGUACUGGUCUCAAAAAGUUUACAGUUAAGCAUGUACACUGUUUGACACAUUUAACCACAGAGCAAAUACAGGAAGUGAGAGUCUGUAGAAAUCCACCAAAGACACACUUUAAUAACAUAUACUGUGUGUAGUGCCCUUGAGUUUAUUUUUCUUUUCAUCUGUAGUUUUAAAAAAAGGACAAUCAAAAUGUUUUUGGACAAGAUGAAGAUAAGGAGAAAGGAAACAUCACAACUUUUUGACAUGCGGACAUUCAGUUUGAAGCAGGUCAUUUUGAUUUUUUGGGGGGUCAUAACAGGUGCUGAGUGUCGAAAAGGAUCAGCAGAAAGACAAUUAUCUCUUCAGACUGGAGGAUCUGUCACUAUUCCAUGUCACUAUGACAGCAAAUACACAGAACAUAAGAAAUACUGGUGCUAUGAGGCCAGGUCAAUAUAUAGUUUCUGCUCUACUCUGGCGUAUGCUAAUGAAACCAAGGGAAAUGUGUCAGUAAUUGAUCACCCUGAUCAGAGUUUAUUUACUGUGACUAUGAGUGACCUGCAGAGUAAAGACACUGGAGCUUACUGGUGUGCUGUGGAAAUUGAAGGAAUAUUUAAAGUGGAUGAGACAGAAGAGCUUUAUAUGACAAUCCAAUCAGUUCCUGAUCUCUCUGUGGUGAGCAGCAGUGUAACUGGACAGGAAGGUGGUAAUAUCAGUGUCCAGUGUCUCUGCAGUUCUGGAUAUAAGAGUAAAGACAAACAGUGGUGCAGAUAUAAAGACAAGAGAUGUUCCGUUGUGGGGAAGACUGACACAUCCCAAAAUCCAUCAGUCCAGAUCAGUGAUGAUGGAAGAGAAUCCUUCAGUGUGGUGAUGACUGGACUGACAGAGAGUGAUUCUGGCUGGUACUGGUGCUCUGUAGGAGAUCGACAGGUUCCUGUUCAACUCACUGCGACUGUGACUGAGACCAAACCAGAUAAAAUAACAGCAUGCAGGUUUAGAAUAUUGUAAGGGUGAGUACAUAAUUACUAUUCCUAAGACAUUUUAUCAAUGACUCUGUGUACACUGAUGGGCCAAAACAUUAUAACUACCUGCUUAAUAUGCUGUUGGUCCUCCACGUGCCGCCAAAACAGCGCCGACCCGCCAAGGCAUGGACUCUACAAGACCCCUGAAGGUGUCCUGUGGUAUCUGGCACCAAGACAUUAGCAUUAGAUCCUUCAAGUCCUGUAAGUUGCAAGGUGGAGAUGCCGUGGAUCGGACUUGUUGGUCCCAUAUAUCCCAUAGAUGCAAAUUCCCCAGAUCCAAUUGAGAUAUGGGGAAUUUAGAGGCCAGGGCAACACCUUGAACACUUCAUCGUGUUUCUCAAACCAUUUCCGAACAAUGUGUGCAGUGUGGCAGGGUGCAUUAUCUUGCUGAAAGAGGCCACUGCCAUCAGGGAAUACCAUUGCCAUGAAGGGGUGUACCUGGUCUGAAACAAUGUUUAGGUAGGUGGCACGUGUCAAAUUGACAUCCAUAUGAAUGGCCGGACCCAGUGUUUCCCAGCAGAAGAUUGCCCAGAGCAUCACACUCCCUCCACCAGCUUGUCGUCUUCCCACAGUGCAUCCUGGUGCCAUCACUUCUCCAGGCAGUAUGGAUAUCUGGUGGUGUGGCUUCCAGCAGUUGUACUGUUGCUGCUGCUGGUGAUUGUGGCUGCCGUUGUAACCAUAAUACUGAAAAAGAAGCAUA